GGGAAAGUUGCAAAGAACUUUGAAGAGAGAGUUCAAAAGGGCGUGAAACCGCUUAGAAGUAAACGGGUGGUGCUGCCAUUACGUUUGUCCGGAUUCAGCCCUCUCAACGGUGGAACGUCGAAGUGCUGAUCGCAAGACGGUGCUUUGGCUGAAUGUUCUGUCUAGUAAGGGUGCACUUUCGGCAGACUGCGUCACGACCGGCGACCUGUUCGGCAUAAGGCUGGUUGGUUGAAGACAGUGAGGUCUUGGCCUUGCUGUGACUCGCUAAUCAGUUCAGACCCGGUUUAGGUCGCCGGGAAUUGUCCGCGCCCGCUUCGCUCGGCUUGUGCUGUAUCACAGGCAGUUAUCUGGUACUGUGCUUGCACGGUGCUGGGUUACUUGUUUGUGACUGCUGUGCUUGCUGAGUGGCGCACAUGGUCAGUGGCGUCCGCGUCAGCUUCCCACCCGACCCGUCUUGAAACACGGACCAAGGAGUCUAACAUGUGCGCAAGUCAUUGGGUCGUCAAACCCAAAGGCGCAAUGAAAGUAAAGAUCGGUUCUGCUGAUCUAGGUGAGAUCUCGACUGCUCUGUCGGGCGCAUCACUGUCCCAUCGCAUCGGCUUGCCCGGGCGGUGGAGAAAGAGCGUACAUGUUGGGACCCGAAAGAUGGUGAACUAUGCCUGAGCAGGAUGAAGCCAGAGGAAACUCUGGUGGAGGUCCGUAGCGGUUCUGACGUGCAAAUCGAUCGUCAGACUUGGGUAUAGGGGCGAAAGACUAAUCGAACCAUCUAGUAG
rnacentral:rRNA from 1 species